ensembl:snRNA U6 U6 spliceosomal RNA
GUGUUCACAUCACCAGCACAGAUACUAAAGUUGGAACGAUACAGAGAAGAUCAGCAUGGCCCCUGCUCAAGGAUCACAUGCAAAUUCAUGCAGUGGCUCAUAUUUUU